ACCUUUGUGGUGUAGUGGUUAGCACGCUCGGCGCGUAUUCGAGAGGUCCGUGGUUCGAGUCCCGGCGAGGGCA
rnacentral:tRNA from 1 species